AGUGCUAAAUACCCCUCCUACUACACCUGAAUCGCCUUCAUCAGUCACUGUAACAGAAGGCAGCCGGCAGCAGUCUUCUGUAACAGUAUCAGAACCACUGGCUCCAAACCAAGAAGAGGUUCGAAGUAUCAAGAGUGAAACUGAUAGCACAAUUGAGGUGGAUAGUGUUGCUGGGGAGCUCCAAGACCUCCAGUCUGAAGGGAAUAGCUCGCCAGCAGGUUUUGAUGCCAGUGUGAGCUCAAGCAGUAGUAAUCAGCCAGAACCAGAACAUCCUGAAAAAGACCCCUCCACCCUUAACCAAAUACUGUAUGUAGGGGUUUGGAGCAACCAACUGUCCAGGCACUGCUUUCCUCAGACAACCGUGUCAAACUGAUUUUCAAGCCUGACUAACUUGUCCUGUACAGGUCAGAAAAGAGUGAAAGAUGCUCAGGGAGGAGGAAGUUCAUCAAAAAA
rnacentral:sRNA from 1 species